GCGGCGCCCUGCCCUGUGCCCUCCAGCCCCGGCCAGGAGCUUUGCGGCAACAACAACGUCACCUACAUCUCCUCGUGCCACAUGCGCCAGGCCACCUGCUUCCUGGGCCGCUCCAUCGGCGUGCGCCACGCGGGCAGCUGCGCAGGCACCCCUGAGGAGCCGCCAGGUGGUGAGUCUGCAGAAGAGGAAGAGAACUUCGUGUGAGCCUGCAGGACAGGCCUGGGCCUGGUGCCCGAGGCCCCCCAUCAUCCCCUGUUAUUUAUUGCCACAGCAGAGUCUAAUUUAUAUGCCACGGACACUCCUUAGAGCCCGGAUUCGGACCACUUGGGGAUCCCAGAACCUCCCUGACGAUAUCCUGGAAGGACUGAGGAAGGGAGGCCUGGGGGCCGGCUGGUGGGUGGGAUAGACCUGCGUUCCGGACACUGAGCGCCUGAUUUAGGGCCCUUCUCUAGGAUGCCCCAGCCCCUACCCUAAGACCUAUUGCCGGGGAGGAUUCCACACUUCCGCUCCUUUGGGGAUAAACCUAUUAAUUAUUGCUACUAUCAAGAGGGCUGGGCAUUCUCUGCUGGUAAUUCCUGAAGAGGCAUGACUGCUUUUCUCAGCCCCAAGCCUCUAGUCUGGGUGUGUACGGAGGGUCUAGCCUGGGUGUGUACGGAGGGUCUAGCCUGGGUGAGUACGGAGGGUCUAGCCUGGGUGAGUACGGAGGGUCUAGCCUGGGUGAGUACGGAGGGUCUAGCCUGGGUGUGUAUGGAGGAUCUAGCCUGGGUGAGUAUGGAGGGUCUAGCCUGGGUGAGUAUGGAGGGUCUAGCCUGGGUGUGUAUGGAGGGUCUAGCCUGGGUGAGUAUGGAGGGUCUAGCCUGGGUGUGUAUGGAGGGUCUAGCCUGGGUGAGUAUGGAGGGUCUAGCCUGGGUGUGUACGGAGGGUCUAGUCUGAGUGCGUGUGGGGACCUCAGAACACUGUGACCUUAGCCCAGCAAGCCAGGCCCUUCAUGAAGGCCAAGAAGGCUGCCACCAUUCCCUGCCAGCCCAAGAACUCCAGCUUCCCCACUGCCUCUGUGUGCCCCUUUGCGUCCUGUGAAGGCCAUUGAGAAAUGCCCAGUGUGCCCCCUGGGAAAGGGCACGGCCUGUGCUCCUGACACGGGCUGUGCUUGGCCACAGAACCACCCAGCGUCUCCCCUGCUGCUGUCCACGUCAGUUCAUGAGGCAACGUCGCGUGGUCUCAGACGUGGAGCAGCCAGCGGCAGCUCAGAGCAGGGCACUGUGUCCGGCGGAGCCAAGUCCACUCUGGGGGAGCUCUGGCGGGGACCACGGGCCACUGCUCACCCACUGGCCCCGAGGGGGGUGUAGACGCCAAGACUCACGCAUGUGUGACAUCCGGAGUCCUGGAGCCGGGUGUCCCAGUGGCACCACUAGGUGCCUGCUGCCUCCACAGUGGGGUUCACACCCAGGGCUCCUUGGUCCCCCACAACCUGCCCCGGCCAGGCCUGCAGACCCAGACUCCAGCCAGACCUGCCUCACCCACCAAUGCAGCCGGGGCUGGCGACACCAGCCAGGUGCUGGUCUUGGGCCAGUUCUCCCACGACGGCUCACCCUCCCCUCCAUCUGCGUUGAUGCUCAGAAUCGCCUACCUGUGCCUGCGUGUAAACCACAGCCUCAGACCAGCUAUGGGGAGAGGACAACACGGAGGAUAUCCAGCUUCCCCGGUCUGGGGUGAGGAAUGUGGGGAGCUUGGGCAUCCUCCUCCAGCCUCCUCCAGCCCCCAGGCAGUGCCUUACCUGUGGUGCCCAGAAAAGUGCCCCUAGGUUGGUGGGUCUACAGGAGCCUCAGCCAGGCAGCCCACCCCACCCUGGGGCCCUGCCUCACCAAGGAAAUAAAGACUCAAGCCAU
rnacentral:lncRNA from 1 species